AGAGUUUGAUCAUGGCUCAGGACGAACGCUGGCGGCGUGCUUAACACAUGCAAGUCGAACGAGGUCCACGGUGUAGCAAUACACCUGAAGACCUAGUGGCGAACGGGUGCGUAACACGUGAGGAACUUGUCCCGGUCUCUGGGAUAACAGUUGGAAACGACUGCUAAUACCGGAUGACGUCGGAGCAUCGCAUGGUGCGCUGACGAAAGGGUUACUGGAUCGGGAGAGCCUCGCGGCCUAUCAGCUUGUUGGUGGGGUAACGGCCCACCAAGGCAUCGACGGGUAGCUGGUCUGAGAGGAUGAUCAGCCACACUGGGACUGAGACACGGCCCAGACUCCUACGGGAGGCAGCAGUGGGGAAUCUUGCGCAAUGGGCGAAAGCCUGACGCAGCAACGCCGCGUGCGGGAUGAAGGCUCUCGGGUUGUAAACCGCUUUCAGCAGGAACGAAAAUGACGGUGCUGCAGAAGAAG
rnacentral:rRNA from 1 species